CGUGGGUCUGCCGUGGCGCUCUUGUAAUUUGUGAGGCAGGCUCCUGAUGAAUGCAGUGAGUGGUCAUUUUUCUUCUUGUGGCCUCUGGAAUGUGACACAGAACUCAAGGGACAGGAAGGAGAUGAGUUGGAGGCUGGGACAGGGGUCCCUGCCAGGGAUGCUGGUGACUCACGUGACGGUGUUGAUGUGUGGAGUCCGGUGCCUGGUUUGGGGAAUGUUCGUGGGAUAUGUUCCAAAGGACUGACGGACCUAUCAGGUGCAGUGGUUCACACCUGUAAUCCCAGCACUUUGGGAGGC
rnacentral:lncRNA from 1 species